AGGUGCUCAAAAGACGUCAUGUUGUGUAUCCCAACUUGCAUCGGUAGAUGAAGCUGGACCAUGUUCGUCAGGGACUACGACCAAAACCAAAUCAAUGAAAAUGGCCACCGUAAACAAGAGUAAAAGAGCGAGGUCAAGUUUUAACAGGCAAGCAGAAGAAAAUAUGAAACUGGAGUAGAAAAAUUUAAAUUUGCAACAAAUUAAUCUGCGACUAAAGAAUAGGUUAAUACUGGCCCAACUGAAGGUUGCUAGGUUACAGGCACAAAAAUUUAGGAAGAGAUUAACAUGCUAAAAGGCACAAAUAAUGAAUGUUAAAUCUUCAGUUUUGCAUUAUGCCAACAUAAAAUCCUUUCUAUCUGUACAUUUUUCUAUUGGUUUGCCCAUUUCACAAUCAUUCAUAAGUUUUUAAAAUCCUACUAUUCUUAAGGAUCAAAAAAAUCUUUCACAUAAUACUUAUCAAUUGCAGAAGAGCACAUUUUCACGCCUAGUAUAUUUAGUCAUUUAUUGCGGGAUUAUUGACAUUUGUGCACAUUAGCAUUUUUAUGCUUGUCGCAUGUUCAAUGAAAGUUUUCAUACAUUUCCUAUAUUAUAUAACCUAGCAACCUUCAGUUGGACCAGGGCUCAUAUUCACUAAACAGUUGUUAGACUUAAGUCUAAGGAUUAAAAAGAUUCUUUUAGCUAAAAUAUUUAAUUAUGGCUUGAAUUUUGAGUCAAACAUGGCAUAAACCAUCUCAAUAAACAUCAUUCUUAAUGUAAGUCUAAGAAUUGGUUGGUGAAUACGGGCCCAGGUUGAUUAAAGUAACAUGUAACCAGUAAUUAUCAAGAAG